AGUCAGAGGGUUUUUUAGGACAGUAACUUAGGUCAAUUUCAAAAUUAGGACAAUAAAUUUCGGGCUUGUAAAAGUAGGACACUAAUUAUUAAGUAUUGCACCCGCAGGACAAUUCUGGGCCCAUUAUCAAAUUUCGGGCUUAAUCUAAUGAUGUGUUAAUUCUCAAAUUCCAUGUCAUUAAAAAUAAGAGUGAAUUUGCCACAUAAUCAACCCACCCAUGAUUCAUCAACUUCCCCCAUUCCAUAACUUACGUGAAAUUGUUUCUCCAAGAUAGUGAAGGGUUUGAAGACAUUCUCUGCAACUAAAGCUUGAACCCCCAAAUUUCUCAUUGAUGCGACAAUGGUGAAAGUAAGAGAGAAGAGAUAUUUGCAUCAACCUCCUCCCAUGUACAGUAAGUAUUUCAAACCUUAAAUUUCUGUAUUGGAUUUUACUUAUUUCAUAUAUGAGACCAAAUUGCAACUAUAACUUCAAUUGUUCACAAGAAAUUUGGAUAAGAAGGCAAGGAAAGAUCCCAUUUAUCAAAUACGUACAUCAUAUACUUCGUUUAUACUUACUGAUAUUAAAUUUGAAUGCUUAAAUUUCUGUAUUGUAUUCCACAAUACAAAGUAUUGGAUUUUACUUAUUUCUGUAUUUUUUUAUUCCGAACGUAGAUAUGUCCUUGAAAUUUUUAAUGUAAUUUGUUGUGGUCCAGGGCUAUUUAUUUUAAUAAAUGUGGUGUGUGGCCUCAAUGUUUAUUUUAAUGAAAGAUUUGUAUUUUUCAGUUAUUGUGGUCUUGAAUGUAGGGUUUUAGUAUUUAAUCGAUUUUUUUUGUUGUAGAAAUUGACAAAGGUUAUCUAUCAGUUAAUAUUCAUUAUGAUGGUGCAUUUGUUUCAUCACCUAGUGCAAAAUAUGUUGGGGGUGAUCGAAUGAUAUUAGAC
rnacentral:lncRNA from 1 species